rnacentral:rRNA from 1 species
AACGAACGCUGGCGGCAUGCCUAACACAUGCAAGUCGAACGAGAUCUUCGGGUCUAGUGGCGCACGGGUGCGUAACGCGUGGGAAUCUGCCCUUUGGUUCGGAAUAACAGUUGGAAACGACUGCUAAUACCGGAUGAUGACGAAAGUCCAAAGAUUUAUCGCCAGAGGAUGAGCCCGCGUAGGAUUAGCUAGUUGGUGUGGUAAAGGCGAACCAAGGCGACGAUCCUUAGCUGGUCUGAGAGGAUGAUCAGCCACACUGGGACUGAGACACGGCCCAGACUCCUACGGGAGGCAGCAGUGGGGAAGAUUGGACAAUGGGCGAAAGCCUGAUCCAGCAAUGCCGCGUGAGUGAUGAAGGCCUUAGGGUUGUAAAGCUCUUUUACCCGGGAUGAUAAUGACAGUACCGGGAGAAUAAGCUCCGGCUAACUCCGUGCCAGCCGCCGCGGUAA